rnacentral:rRNA from 1 species
GAUGUGGAGCGAACCUCAAAAAAGUAAGUCUCAGUUCGGAUUGAAGGCUGAAAUUCGCCUUUAUGAAGCUGGAAUUGCUAGUAAUGGCAGGUAAGCAUACUGCCGUGAAUACGUCCCCGGGCCUUGUACACACCGCCCGUCACACCAUGAGAGUUGGGAAUACCCGAAGCCUGUGAGCUAACUGUAAAGAGGCAGCAGUCGAAGGUAGAAUCAAUGAUUGGGGUGAAGUCGUAACAAGGUAGC